rnacentral:rRNA from 1 species
UGAUGAGUGUAAAAUACUCGAGCGGCGGACGGCUGAGUAACACGUAGGAACGUACCCCAAACUGAGGGAUAAGCACCAGAAAUGGUGUCUAAUACCGCAUGUGAUCUUCGGAUUAAAGCUUCGGCGGUUUGGGAACGGCCUGCGCAUGAUUAGUUUGUUGGUGAGGUAAUGGCUCACCAAGACUACGAUCAUUAGAUGGUCUGAGAGGAUGAUCAUCCAGACUGGGACUGAGAACGGCCCAGACUCCUACGGGAGGCAGCAGUAGGGAAUUUUCCACAAUGGGCGAAAGCCUGAUGGAGCAACGCCGCGUGCAGGAUGAAGGCUCUAGGG